CUCAAACAUAAAUACAUAAUUCAAGUAUCCAUCUCCAAUAGAAUGUCCUCCCAUCAAAACAUAUGAAGGAAAAGAGGAAGGGGAUGUAGUGGGUAGAAGUGUCAAAGAGUUUAACUGUCAAAGGCAAACUUGCAUCAAUAAUUCUGCAAGGUUGCCUUGCACGCCUGCAGCACGAAUCCACUGGGUGGGCUCUUCCAUUAAGUGCGUUUAGACGAAUCAAGAUCGUGCUGUUCCAGCGAAGCCUAGUAGUGUGCACCACGGAUGAGACCUCGCUGAAUACGAAGCUUUCGUACUCAAUCUUACAUUUUACACACUGUUAGUGUAUUGAAUUUUCUAACAGCCUGACGAUUCCCGAACCCCAUUAACCCAAUGAUGGAGUUAUCCUUGAUGUCAGCGCAGCAUUAUCCGGCUGUGAGUGGGCCUUCAUGGAUUCCCCGUACAAUGGCAACACGUCCCUCCAGACUCACCUCUACCUCAAUGCCAACUUCUCCCGGCCGAACCGAGGCGGAAGAGGAGGGCAAGUACUCCAGCGACGCCAUCUGGCUUUGGGUAGCCGUCAUUGCAACCAUCGGCAACAUAGUAGUGGUAGCAGUGGUUUGCGCCUGUGCCUUCUAAGACCCGUUAGUUACAAGCACACAGCCGAACCUCCCUCUUGCCACCUUUUUCCCCUCAACCUAUCCUUGUAUUCAUUUUCAUCUUGUAUGUGUCCAUCCAUAAUAUUAAAGCCAAGGCCCUGUUCUGAGGGUCGACGGAAUAUGAUAGUGAAAAUAUAGGGAUUGAUUUAACUGAUGUUCUGUAGGACUAUGAAUGCAUUUUUAAGUCUAGGAAUGAGAGAGGGACAAUCCUCUGGAGUUACCAUACUGUAUCUUACCUAAAGCCUAUGUCUCCCACUGUGUUAUUUUUUUAAUGAGAAACGGGGAAGUGAGCUGAUGUGGGCUGUGCCUUUGUAUAAUGAACAUUUUGUAAAUGAGUUAUGGAAAUGGACAUUAUAUAAAGCAGCUGAGUGAGCCUCCCUUCUGCUUUCCUAUCGGAGGGCUCCCCAGAGGUCAGCCUAAAGGACUAGGGAAGUGUACAGCUGUGAGAUCCCCUCUGCCUGUGAAUCUGAACAGAACAAUAUAUCUUUGUCUGGUUGAUGUCAUGUGCCUGUUUGUCUGAAAUGAAUGUGUUGAUGUUGCUGUCUUGGUCCAGGUCUCUCUUGAAAAUGUGAUUUUUAUCUCAAUGAGACUAACCUGUUUAAAUAAGGGUGAUAUAAAUAUACACCAAAUCAGCAGUCCUCGUUGUGGUUGGCCACUGUCUCGGAGACCAGUGGAGAGAUAUGUGACAGAUGGUGGCUGGUAGGGGUGCCGAGGGGACAGCGGAGGGGCCCAAGGCAGACUUGGCAGUACCCCCAGUACCCGGUGUUCUUUCCUGCGACUCCUGCACCCCUGCACUACCAUUCACCAUUACUGCUCUGUCCUGUCCUCAUCAGCCUCUGUGAUAGAAAUCUCCCCAAGCACUUUAUAAAACCCAAUAAACCUGGGAGCUUUCUUCUAUUUGAACUGCAGUGUUCAGUGCCCACCUGUUGCAUCUCUGCAGUGGCUGUAGACCUGUGCCAGUUUAACUAUGCAGUGAUGACAUCCCACUGGGCACACACUGGUUGAAUCAAAGUUGUUGCCACGUCAUUUCACUGAAAUGUCCCCACUGGGAUAGCUGUGGAUAAUUGUAUAUAAGUGAGACCGAUGUAUACAAACACAGUGCCACCCACAAGCCAAAUGAGGGAAUUAAGUUGUCAGCACAAAUCUUAUGUUAUACCACCCCUGCUGACAUUAUCUGCAAUUACGGAGCCACCAAUUACAUCGCACUAAAUCAUUGAGCCACCCACCAUGACCAGACUAUCCCAAAUGAUCAGACCGCUGCUACGAAGGCCCCAAACUGUUGAGCUAGCAAUUAAAUGAUUUUGCUCCUGUCAUAAGAAACCCCAUUGCUGUUAACAUUAGUUUUUUGUUGUUGUUGUUGUGCCAGGCAGGCAGAAUCUCACAUUCACCUCAGAUUGUCUCCCAGUAGACUAGUGUGUGUAGGUGGCAGCCUCCCCAGUAGUUCUGUGCUGUGCUGUCUCCCAUGCACCCAGGGGAGUAGGGCCACAGACUUGUCAAAUGGCAGGGCUGUAAUGAGAUGUAAUGCCUCUCUCUCUCUGUCUCUCUAUCUCUCUGUCUCUAUCUCUCUCUAUCUCUUUCCUAAAGUGAACACUGACCUCCCAGUUGUGCUGCGGUGAUCAGAGCAGAUCUGAUCCCUGCUGCACUCGGCUGCUCUGAACAAAGAUAGUGCUUCAAAGUGCAUUUUUAGAGUGUGACUUCCUCAUUUAAUCAGCACUCGUUGUGAUUUAAAGGGAGAGGAGGAGGAGAGAGGAGUGACUGCAUGGGAUUUGAUUUAUAACAGCCAACUUCCAUGACAUCGCUUUGAAUUACAGGACUUUUUUUGAAGUACAAUGUAAAAUAGAUUUUUUUUUAAAUUGAAACCAACGAAGUGGAAUAAAAGGGUUUAAGAUGGAGAGAUUUAAGAUCAAAAGUCUGGCUGAGACAUCACUUCACACAGCUAAUUGCCCUGAUCUCACUGUACAGUAGAGUUAAUGAAAACAAGAGACAGAUUCAUCAUGGCAUCUCUGAGCGGUCCUUUUCAGGUUCCUUAGAGAGCUUAGAAGAAACCUGUGGGAACAGUAAUGUCUCUUACAAUAAACAACAAACCAAAAAAACGCUCGUUUUUUAUUGCACAGUAUGGGGUCAUAAGUAUCUGCUGGCAAUAACUCAAGAUGACGCUAACAAGUUAGUAUUAUACAUCCCCACUAUAUGUAGUUACUUUAAUACUAUUCUGAAGCAACAUUCAUAUGAACUAGGUGAGGAAUCCCAGUUAGCUAUAAUAGGAAUUUCUUCUACCCUUGUGCCGGCUGUGUGCUUUGACGUGGGACUGGUUAAGGCUCAGGUGCCCACUGUCUACGGCUCGAAUUAUGUGCCUGAACUGACUAACACAACUCCUACCCAUCAACUGCUUAUUGACCAUGGACGCCCCUUGACCACCAUGGAUGAUGGUCCUCCUACACACGACAAGACGUCAUCACAGCCUCAAGCCCAGGCCCAGAGGGGACUGCUUAAUUACACCCCAUAGAGCACUGCACGUUCCAUCCUCCUUCUCCUUUCCCCUCUGUUCUCGCUCCUUCCACCCCCAUCCAUCCAUCCAUCCAUCCAUCCAUCCAUCCAUCCAUCCAUCCAUCCAUCCAUCCAUCCAUCCAUCCAUCCAUCCAUCCAUCCAUCCAUGCAGAGCACUAGACCGUGGUGUCUGCGUUGGCACUGACCUCUGACCCGAGGCAGGGCACCUCAUGCCCACAUGCCUCUUCCUUCCCAGGCAGCAAGAAAUAGUCCGGCCGUUGCUGGGGAAAUGGACGAGUCACUCCUACGAGAGGAGAAUUGUAGGAGCAAGGAGCAGCUGGACUCCCAGGAAUUGCCCAUCCUUCCUCGGCCCCCGGGAACAUAUUGGCUCAUUAAAGCAGACUUCCUGUAUCCUCAGUACAGCGGAGACAGUAUGGGUGACUAGGGACUGUGACUUUUAUAAAAGCACCUAUAGGGAACACAUAAAGACCACAUGGGGGCUAGGAGGGAUAUUAUGGAAGAGGUGGGACUUAUUCAUGACUUCAACAAAUAAUACCAUAUCUUAUCCAAGGUUUCUUGUAGUUGACUUUAUUUGGAAUGUGCUGUGACUCAUAACACUGAAAGAACAUAGAAAGUGAAACCACACUAGGAAAAGAGCAACUUUCCUUCUGGAGUCCUGUACGUCUUGUUUUGAAAUGGAUUUCUGACAGCGAUUCACACAUUCAUUGCAAUGAAUGAAUGGAUAUACAUCCACUUCGUUGACUCUGGACACUUGGAUUCUACUUUUCUGUGCAUCCAGUUGCAGGGUUGUACGUUCUGAUACCUCCCUGUCGGUGUCAGGGUUACCGCUAUGAAAUACUGAUUAUCAAAAGGCUAUUGGCUAAAUGCAGUCACUGUGUUAGUUAAAUUCAUUCACAAUGUUCAUUCACAAAAGCAUUCUAUAACAGUUACUUCAUACAAAAUACUGCACAGAGUCACAUUACUGCAAUGUGUUUUAAAUGACAUUUCUAGGGGGGGGAUACUUAUUGUCUUGACUUUCCAUAAAUAUUUGGCCUACAUUCCUUUUUUACAAAAGGAAGUGAAACAUUCGGGUUUUCUUUUGAUUUCACUGUGUGUAAUCAUGAUUGCAGUGUACAGUAUAAGCACUAUGAAAGUUAUUGAAACCCGUUUUUAUUUUGAACCUGAUAUUUGAGGCUCGUUAUUAUUUUGUUCCCAUGCUAGAUUAACCAAAACACACACACACACACAUUGUGGCUUGCAUUACAGGAGCCAGGAUUCAAGACGUGUACCUUAUAAGGAUAAUGGUUGUGUACACGUCAGUAAAUUAGACCAGCUCUGUUGUUCAUAUGUUAGUCCCAACAUCCAAGCCAUGUGUGCAUGCUCAUUGGAAAGACAUCUUCAUAUGGAAAACACUGAAAUGCAGCUGAUGCGAGACCACAUGACAGUUCAACAAUGGUCAUUUUCUUGUGUUUUCAAUUUCUAUUGUGAUAUUUUGAUUUAGUAUAAGCUUACUUACUUAGCUUGUUUGCAUGUGUUGGAUUACUUUCAUCCCAACAUUUUGUUAGUUGACUACUCUGCAAGCUGCGUUCCAGUAAGGGAUAAAUAAUGUCAAAUUCAUGAUCUUAUUUGAUGGAAUAUUGAUUGAAUGAUGAAUUACUUUGUACAUGAACAAAUAUGUAGAACUAAUGUUUAUUCGUUUGAGGAAUAUUUUUUGUAAACUUUUUAUCGAUCGUGUACUUUUCCCCAAUGUUUUAGUAAUUCAGUCAGCGCAGAAACAUUGCUGCUACAAGUCUUGAUGUAUUUAUUUGAUAUUUUCACACACUUGCAAGCGAACAGAAAAGCUUAGAAGUAAACGUGUUUUUACCUGCAUAAUUAAAAAUCUAUAUUGUCUGUUAACCUCAUGAUUUACCAUCCUUUAUAAUUCAAUUAAAUUGAUAAGAAUGUGAAAAUGA